UACGUAGGGGGCGAGCGUUGUCCGGAAUCAUUGGGCGUAAAGAGCGUGUAGGCGGCUUGGCAAGUCUGACGUGAAAUCCCGCGGCUCAACCGCGGUAGGUCGUUGGAAACUGCCUCGCUAGAGUCCGGAAGAGGAGAGCGGAAUUCCUGGUGUAGCGGUGGAAUGCGCAGAUAUCAGGAAGAACACCCGUGGCGAAGGCGGCUCCUCUGGGACGGUACUGACGGCUGAGGAGCGAAAGCGUGGGGAGCAAACAGG
rnacentral:rRNA from 1 species